rnacentral:rRNA from 1 species
GCUACGGGUGGCAGCAGUGGGGGAUAUUGCACAAUGGGGGAAACCCUGAUGCAGCGACGCCGCGUGUGGGAAGACGGUCUUCUGGAUUGUAAACCACUGUCCCCAGGGACGAAAAUGACGGUACCUGGGGAGGAAGCUCCGGCUAACUACGUGCCAGCAGCCGCGGUAAUACGGAGGGAGCAAGCGUUGUCCGGAAUUACUGGGUGUCAAGGUAGCGUGGGCGGGGAUGCAAGGUGGGUGUAAAAACUACCGGCUCAACCGAUAGUCGCACUCAAAACCGCAGCUCUUGAGUGAAGUAGAGGCAGGCGGAAUUCCUAGUGUAGGGGUGAAAUGCGUAGAUAGUAGGAGGAACACCAGUGGCGAAGGCGGCCUGCUGGGCUUUUACUGACGCUGAGGCUCGAAAGUGUGGGGAGCAAACAGGAUUAGAUACCCUAGUC